GAACGCGAAGAACCUUACCAGGUCUUGACAUCCUUUGAAGCUUUUAGAGAUAGAAGUGUUCUCUUCGGAGACAAAGUGACAGGUGGUGCAUGGUCGUCGUCAGCUCGUGUCGUGAGAUGUUGGGUUAAGUCCCGCAACGAGCGCAACCCUUAUUGUUAGUUGCCAGCAUUCAGAUGGGCACUCUAGCGAGACUGCCGGUGACAAACCGGAGGAAGGCGGGGACGACGUCAGAUCAUCAUGCCCCUUAUGACCUGGGCUACACACGUGCUACAAUGGCGUAUACAACGAGUUGCCAACCUGCGAAGGUGAGCUAAUCUCUUAAAGUACGUCUCAGUUCGGACUGCAGUCUGCAACUCGACUGCACGAAGUCGGAAUCGCUAGUAAUCGCGGAUCAGCACGCCGUUUGGUUC
rnacentral:rRNA from 1 species